rnacentral:rRNA from 1 species
UACGUAGGGUGCAAGCGUUGUCCGGAAUUAUUGGGCGUAAAGAGCUCGUAGGCGGUUUGUCGCGUCGAAUGUGAAAACCCGGGGCUCAACUCCGGGCCUGCAUUCGAUACGGGCAGACUAGAGUUCGGUAGGGGAGUCUGGAAUUCCUGGUGUAGCGGUGAAAUGCGCAGAUAUCGGGAGGAACCCCGGGGGGGAAAGCGGGUCCCUGGGCCUGUACUGACGCUGAGGAGCGAAAGCGUGGGGAGCGAACAGG